rnacentral:rRNA from 1 species
ACGCUCGACACCUACUGGAGGCAGCAGUGGGGGAUAUUGCGCAAUGGGGGAAACCCUGACGCAGCAACGCCGCGUGAAGGACGAAGGUUUUCGGAUUGUAAACUUCUUUUGUUAGGGACGAAGAAAUGACGGUACCUGACGAAUAAGCUCCGGCUAACUACGUGCCGGCAGCCGCGGUAAUCUGAGCGGGCUGGCAAGGC